rnacentral:rRNA from 1 species
AUGGCAGGAGGAGAGCAUGGAGCUGGAGCUAAUGGCCUGCAAGACCAGGACCUCACCGGAGCUUUGGAGGAAGGAAGAGGAGGAGUGAAUCAACCAGCAGGGUGCGAGAAUUCAGGGGAGCAAGCUCUGAGCAGCACCAGCAAUCAGCCCAUGCUCUCCGUCCAGUUCGUGCAGAAGAUCCUGGCCGAGAUCUUCGGCACCUACUUCCUCAUCUUCGCCGGCUGCGCGGCGGUGGCCGUGAACAAGAGGACGGCCGGCACGGUGACGUUCCCGGGCAUCUGCAUCACCUGGGGCCUGGCCGUCAUGGUCAUGGUCUACUCCGUCGGCCACAUCUCCGGGGCGCACUUCAACCCCGCCGUCACGUUUGCCUUCGCCACCUGCGGCCGCUUCCCGUGGAGGCAGGUCCCGGCCUACGCGGCGGCCCAGGUGAUCGGGUCGACGGCGGCGAGCAUCACGCUGCGGCUGCUGUUCGGCGGCGAGCCGGAGCACUUCUUCGGGACAGUGCCGUCGGGGUCGGACGUCCAGUCGCUGGUGCUCGAGUUCAUCAUCACCUUCUACCUCAUGUUCGUCGUCUCCGGAGUCGCCACCGACAACAGAGCCAUUGGUGAGCUCGCCGGUCUGGCCGUUGGAGCUACCGUGCUACUAAACGUGCUCUUUGCCGGGCCUAUAUCAGGAGCAUCCAUGAACCCUGCUAGAACCAUCGGUCCAGCGAUGGUCCUCGGCCGCUACACCGGCAUUUGGGUCUACAUCAUCGGGCCUGUUAGCGGCGCCGUUUCAGGCGCGUGGGCUUACAACCUCAUACGGUUUACCAAUAAGCCACUGCGAGAGAUCACCAGGACUGGGUCCUUCUUGCGAAGUGCAAGGAUGAGCUAG